UACGUAGGGUGCGAGCGUUAAUCGGAAUUAUUGGGCGUAAAGGGUAGGUAGGUGGUCUCAUUUGUCUGGGGUGAAAGCCUUGAGCUUAACUCAAGAAGUGCCCCAGAAACGGUGAGACUAGAGUCCUGGAGAGGGUCGUGGAAUUCCCGGUGUAGCGGUGAAAUGCGUAGAGAUCGGGAGGAACACCAGAGGCGAAGGCGGCGACCUGGACAGGUACUGACACUCAACUACGAAAGCGUGGGGAGCAAACAGG
rnacentral:rRNA from 1 species